rnacentral:rRNA from 1 species
CACGCAGGCGGCUUUGCAAGCUUGGUGUGAAAUCUCAGGGCUCAACCCUGAAACUGCAUUGAGAACUGCAUGGCUAGAGUUAGUGAGGGGAAACCGGAAUUCCAGGUGUAGGGGUGAAAUCUGUAGAUAUCUGGAAGAACACCAAUGGCGAAGGCAGGUUUCCAGUACAUAACUGACGCUCAGGUGCGAAGGGUGCGGGGGAAUCAAACA